rnacentral:rRNA from 1 species
GUGGGGAAUCUUGCGCAAUGGGCGAAAGCCUGACGCAGCCAUGCCGCGUGAAUGAUGAAGGUCUUAGGAUUGUAAAAUUCUUUCACCGGGGACGAUAAUGACGGUACCCGGAGAAGAAGCCCCGGCUAACUUCGUGCCAGCAGCCGCGGUAAUACGAAGGGGGCUAGCGUUGCUCGGAAUUACUGGGCGUAAAGGGCGCGUAGGCGGACAGUUUAGUCAGAGGUGAAAGCCCAGGGCUCAACCUUGGAAUUGCCUUUGAUACUGGUUGUCUUGAGUACGGGAGAGGUGAGUGGAACUCCGAGUGUAGAGGUGAAAUUCGUAGAUAUUCGGAAGAACACCAGUGGCGAAGGCGACUCACUGGCCCGUUACUGACGCUGAGGCGCGAAAGCGUGGGGAGCAAACAGGAUUAGAAACCCGUGUAGUCC